GAAAGUGCAGGGGAAGCCCGAGCUGCUGUCAGCGAGCAGGCAGGAGGCUGAGGGUGACUCAGGAUCCCACUCCCAUCUGACACCCAUUUGGUCCCACCCCGUCUUCUCCAAACACUCCAUUAGCCAUCAUUCUUUUCCCCUCUCUCCUUCCCUAUGAUACUUAGUGCGCGUGUCCCCAAAUCCUUCAGGCAAAGUACUGUCUUGCUCAAGAAACCUUCUGCUUUGAGGGUUUUGGUUUUAGAUUUGAUUUGUAUUUUUGGGUUAUUUGUCAAACCUCCAAUACUUUUCUAGAAAUUCUAAUAUUUAUGUUCUUUGGGAAGGGAAGGGGCUGGCUGAUGUUUUUGUCAGAUAGUUUAAAAGAUGUCUCAGGAUGAAAAGGGUUGUUUGGUAGUACACAGUUGAGCAGCAGCAAUGAAAAUGCAUCAUGUGUGAAUUGGGAAAGUUUUUGCCUCUCCAUUUAUUACAAAUCAUCAGCACUGGAUAUAUGAGACCAAAGAGUCCCUCUGAUGACACCACGAAUCUGGGAAUGAAGAACUUCUUAGAGCUGAUUGGAAAUGGCAUUACGGAGCUGAAACUUAACUGGAGGAAAUAUAUCUCCUGAAGAAGAAAAUAUAAUGCACUAUAAGGAUCUGACUUCUGGUGAAAAAUUCAAGCCUAGAGAAAACUUGUCCGCUUUGUUAGGAAGAAUGGGUUGGACAAUUUUCUUCAGUUCCAAAGGAUAUCUGAAUGCCAUGCUGAGCUUAAUCUCUGCAGCAUGCUCUGUGCUUCUCAUCUCUUCCUGAUGCACUGCAUGGUUAUCCUGAAGGGGACGAUAAAGAAACUGGCCACCAAGAUGGUAAUCACUAGUGGAAAUGAAGAAGAUAAAGGCAGUCAAGAAAAGGAAAGCAAAGAAGAAACCAUCUUGGCAAUGCUUGGAAUUAUUGGGACAAUUCUGAACCUCAUUGUGAUCAUUUUUGUGUAUAUUUACACAACGUUGUAA
rnacentral:lncRNA from 1 species